rnacentral:rRNA from 1 species
GGGGGAACUGAAACAUCUAAGUACCCCGAGGAAAAGAAAUCAACCGAGAUUCCCCCAGUAGCGGCGAGCGAACGGGGAGCAGCCCAGAGCCUGAAUCAGUGUGUGUGUUAGUGGAAGCGUCUGGAAAGGCGUGCGAUACAGGGUGACAGCCCCGUACACAAAAAUGCACAUACUGUGAGCUCGAUGAGUAGGGCGGGACACGUGGUAUCCUGUCUGAAUAUGGGGGGACCAUCCUCCAAGGCUAAAUACUCCUGACUGACCGAUAGUGAACCAGUACCGUGAGGGAAAGGCGAAAAGAACCCCGGCGAGGGGAGUGAAAAAGAACCUGAAACCGUGUACGUACAAGCAGUGGGAGCACGCUUAGGCGUGUGACUGCGUACCUUUUGUAUAAUGGGUCAGCGACUUAUAUUCUGUAGCAAGGUUAACCGAAUAGGGGAGCCGAAGGGAAACCGAGUCUUAACUGGGCGUUAAGUUGCAGGGUAUAGACCCGAAACCCGGUGAUCUAGCCAUGGGCAGGUUGAAGGUUGGGUAACACUAACUGGAGGACCGAACCGACUAAUGUUGAAAAAUUAGCGGAUGACUUGUGGCUGGGGGUGAAAGGCCAAUCAAACCGGGAGAUAGCUGGUUCUCCCCGAAAGCUAUUUAGGUAGCGCCUCGUGAAUUCAUCUCCGGGGGUAGAGCACUGUUUCGGCAAGGGGGUCAUCCCGACUUACCAACCCGAUGCAAACUGCGAAUACCGGAGAAUGUUAUCACGGGAGACACACGGCGGGUGCUAACGUCCGUCGUGAAGAGGGAAACAACCCAGACCGCCAGCUAAGGUCCCAAAGUCAUGGUUAAGUGGGAAACGAUGUGGGAAGGCCCAGACAGCCAGGAUGUUGGCUUAGAAGCAGCCAUCAUUUAAAGAAAGCGUAAUAGCUCACUGGUCGAGUCGGCCUGCGCGGAAGAUGUAACGGGGCUAAACCAUGCACCGAAGCUGCGGCAGCGACGCUUAUGCGUUGUUGGGUAGGGGAGCGUUCUGUAAGCCUGUGAAGGUGUGCUGUGAGGUAUGCUGGAGGUAUCAGAAGUGCGAAUGCUGACAUAAGUAACGAUAAAGCGGGUGAAAAGCCCGCUCGCCGGAAGACCAAGGGUUCCUGUCCAACGUUAAUCGGGGCAGGGUGAGUCGACCCCUAAGGCGAGGCCGAAAGGCGUAGUCGAUGGGAAACAGGUUAAUAUUCCUGUACUUGGUGUUACUGCGAAGGGGGGACGGAGAAGGCUAUGUUGGCCGGGCGACGGUUGUCCCGGUUUAAGCGUGUAGGCUGGUUUUCCAGGCAAAUCCGGAAAAUCAAGGCCGAGGCGUGAUGACGAGGCACUACGGUGCUGAAGCAACAAAUGCCCUGCUUCCAGGAAAAGCCUCUAAGCAUCAGGUAACAUCAAAUCGUACCCCAAACCGACACAGGUGGUCAGGUAGAGAAUACCAAGGCGCUUGAGAGAACUCGGGUGAAGGAACUAGGCAAAAUGGUGCCGUAACUUCGGGAGAAGGCACGCUGAUACGUAGGUGAAGCGACUUGCUCGUGGAGCUGAAAUCAGUCGAAGAUACCAGCUGGCUGCAACUGUUUAUUAAAAACACAGCACUGUGCAAACACGAAAGUGGACGUAUACGGUGUGACGCCUGCCCGGUGCCGGAAGGUUAAUUGAUGGGGUUAGCGCAAGCGAAGCUCUUGAUCGAAGCCCCGGUAAACGGCGGCCGUAACUAUAACGGUCCUAAGGUAGCGAAAUUCCUUGUCGGGUAAGUUCCGACCUGCACGAAUGGCGUAAUGAUGGCCAGGCUGUCUCCACCCGAGACUCAGUGAAAUUGAACUCGCUGUGAAGAUGCAGUGUACCCGCGGCAAGACGGAAAGACCCCGUGAACCUUUACUAUAGCUUGACACUGAACAUUGAGCCUUGAUGUGUAGGAUAGGUGGGAGGCUUUGAAGUGUGGACGCCAGUCUGCAUGGAGCCGACCUUGAAAUACCACCCUUUAAUGUUUGAUGUUCUAACGUGGACCCGUGAUCCGGGUUGCGGACAGUGUCUGGUGGGUAGUUUGACUGGGGCGGUCUCCUCCUAAAGAGUAACGGAGGAGCACGAAGGUUGGCUAAUCCUGGUCGGACAUCAGGAGGUUAGUGCAAUGGCAUAAGCCAGCUUGACUGCGAGCGUGACGGCGCGAGCAGGUGCGAAAGCAGGUCAUAGUGAUCCGGUGGUUCUGAAUGGAAGGGCCAUCGCUCAACGGAUAAAAGGUACUCCGGGGAUAACAGGCUGAUACCGCCCAAGAGUUCAUAUCGACGGCGGUGUUUGGCACCUCGAUGUCGGCUCAUCACAUCCUGGGGCUGAAGUAGGUCCCAAGGGUAUGGCUGUUCGCCAUUUAAAGUGGUACGCGAGCUGGGUUUAGAACGUCGUGAGACAGUUCGGUCCCUAUCUGCCGUGGGCGCUGGAGAACUGAGGGGGGCUGCUCCUAGUACGAGAGGACCGGAGUGGACGCAUCACUGGUGUUCGGGUUGUCAUGCCAAUGGCACUGCCCGGUAGCUAAAUGCGGAAGAGAUAAGUGCUGAAAGCAUCUAAGCACGAAACUUGCCCCGAGAUGAGUUCUCCCUGACCCUUUAAGGGUCCUGAAGGAACGUUGAAGACGACGACGUUGAUAGGCCGGGUGUGUAAGCGCAGCGAUGCGUUGAGCUAACCGGUACUAAUGAACCGUGAGGCUUAACCUUACAACGCCGAAG